rnacentral:rRNA from 1 species
UACAGAGGAGCCAAGCGUUGUCCGGAUUGACUGGGCGUAAAGCGCACGCAGGCGGUUGCGCGCGUGGGGUGUGAAAUCUGGCCGCUUAACGGCCAGGCGCCAUCCCAUACGGCGCGACUGGAGUGAUGCAGAGGUCGAUGGAAUUGCCGGUGUAGUGGUGAAAUGCGUAGAGAUGUGGAGGAACACCGAUGGCGAAGGCAGCCCCCUGGGCCUGUACUGACGCUCAUGCACGAAAGCGUGGGGAGCAAAAGGG